UACAGAGGUCCCAAGCGUUGUUCGGAUUCACUGGGCGUAAAGGGUGCGUAGGUGGCGGGGUAAGUCUGACGUGAAAUCUCCGAGCUUAACUCGGAAACUGCGUCGGAUACUAUCUCGCUUGAGGGUUGGAGGGGGGACUGGAAUACUUGGUGUAGCAGUGAAAUGCGUAGAUAUCAAGUGGAACACCAGUGGCGAAGGCGAGUCCCUGGACAACUCCUGACACUGAGGCACGAAAGCUAGGGGAGCAAACAGG
rnacentral:rRNA from 1 species